rnacentral:rRNA from 1 species
UAGCGUAUAUUAAAGUUGUUGCGGUUAAAAAGCUCGUAGUUGGAUUUCUGUUGAGGGACGUCGGUCCGCACUAUGUGCGUGUAUCUGACUGUGCCUCGGCAUCCUCUCGAAUAUCGGUCUGCGCUUCAUUGCGUGGAUCGAACUUCGGGACUUUUACUUUGAGGAAAUUAGAGUGUUCACGGCAGGCAAGCGCCCUGAAUAUAUUAGCAUGGAAUAAUAAGAUAAGGCCUUGGUUGUAUUUUGUUGGUUUCUAGAGCUAAGAUAAUGAUUAAUAGGGACAAUUGGGGGCAUUCGUAUUAACGCGUC